rnacentral:SRP_RNA from 13 species
UCCGGGCAUGGUGGUGCUGUAGUCCCAGCUACUCGGGAGGCUGAGGUGGGAGGAUCGAUUGAGCCCAGGAGUUCUGGGCUGUAGUGUGCUGUGCCAAUCAUGUGUCCACCCUAAGUUUGGCAUCAAUAUGGUGACCUCCUGGGAGCAGGGACCACCAGAUUGCCUAAGGAGGGGUGAACUGGCCCAGGUCGGAAAUGGAGCAGGUCAAAACUCCCAUGCUGAUCAGUGGGAUUGCGCCUGUGAAUAGCCACUGCACUCCAGCCUUGGCAACAUAGCGAGACCCCCGUCUCUU